rnacentral:rRNA from 1 species
AUUGAACGCUGGCGGCAUGCCUUACACAUGCAAGUCGAACGGUAACAGGUUAAGCUGACGAGUGGCGAACGGGUGAGUAAUGUAUCGGAACGUGCCCAGUCGUGGGGGAUAACUGCUCGAAAGAGCAGCUAAUACCGCAUACGACCUGAGGGUGAAAGCGGGGGAUCGCAAGACCUCGCGCGAUUGGAGCGGCCGAUAUCAGAUUAGGUAGUUGGUGAGGUAAAGGCUCACCAAGCCGACGAUCUGCAGCUGGUCUGAGAGGACGACCAGCCACACUGGGACUGAGACACGGCCCAGACUCCUACGGGAGGCAGCAGUGGGGAAUUUUGGACAAAGGGCGCAAGCCUGAUCCAGCCAUGCCGCGUGCGGGAAGAAGGCCUUCGGGUUGUAAACCGCUUUUGUCAGGGAAGAAAAGGUUCUGGCUAAUACCUGGGACUCAUGACGGUACCUGAAGAAUAAGCACCGGCUAACUACGUG